AACGAACGCUGGCGGCAUGCCUAACACAUGCAAGUCGAACGAGACCUUCGGGUCUAGUGGCGCACGGGUGCGUAACGCGUGGGAACCUGCCCUUAGGUUCGGAAUAACUCCCCGAAAGGGGUGCUAAUACCGGAUAAUGUCUUCGGACCAAAGAUUUAUCGCCUUUGGAUGGGCCCGCGCUGGAUUAGCUAGUUGGUAGGGUAAAAGCCUACCAAGGCGACGAUCCAUAGCUGGUCUGAGAGGAUGAUCAGCCACACUGGGACUGAGACACGGCCCAGACUCCUACGGGAGGCAGCAGUGGGGAAUAUUGGACAAUGGGCGAAAGCCUGAUCCAGCAAUGCCGCGUGAGUGAUGAAGGCCUUAGGGUUGUAAAGCUCUUUUACCCGGGAUGAUAAUGGCAGUACCGGGAGAAUAAGCUCCGGCUAACUCCGUG
rnacentral:rRNA from 1 species